GGCCCAGCCCCCCGUCAAGGGCUUUGGGCUGGUCAGUCGUCAAGCUACUCUGUUCACAUAAAGGUCUUCAGAUUUACGCCAAGACGCAUCUUUCACACGAAACUCGAUAAAUGCUUCAGCUUCAAAUGAAGAAUCCCAUCCAGCAGAGGCGGUUUCCAUGUUUCAUAAUUACUCCUCCUCCAAGGAAGACCAAAGGAGCUGACGGCAGCGCCAUCCCAUGACUGCACAUCUUGGAAGUGAUGAGCAGUUGACACAAGAAUUCAAGCAGGAUAUUAAGCUGAACAGCAAGGUCUUGUGAGAAAAUCAGGAAGAGUCUUCAGAAAUCCAUCGCCAGAGGCUCCACACUGGUGAAGGGGGACUCGUGCUGGAGGGAGGGUGGGUGUCUCCCCUUGGGAGAGGUCGCAGGUGCAUUAGAUUUUGAGAAGUCUUGGUCUCAGACGGCCAUGCUUUUUCCCACAAAGCUGUCAGAUAUGUUUUACCCUUAAAAAACCAUCAAG